GCAAAGAGAGAGAAAGAGAACUAGAAAAGAUACAAAGCGAGAGUAUGGUAAAGGUAGUUAGUCGCAAAUUCCAUAUGCGGUGCGGCGCUCUUGUCUGACUCUUUUGUUGUUUUUAUUGUUAUUUUUUUUUCUCUUUC
rnacentral:ribozyme from 1 species